GAAACCGACCUGGCUCACACCGGUUUAAACUCAGAUCAUGUAAAAUUUUAAAGGUCGAACAGACCUUCCUUAUUAGCUUCUGCACCAAUAAUUAAUUUUAAUCCAACAUCGAGGUCGCAAUCUAUUUAAUCGAUAAGAACUCUCUAAAUAAUUACGCUGUUAUCCCUAAGGUAGUUUAAUCUUAUAAUCUAUACCUAGGAUCAUAUAUUUACUCAUCAAUAUUUUUUUAAAAAAAAAGUUAUAUUAAUUUUUUUAUCACCCCAACAAAAUACAUAAAUCAUCCUUAAAAUAUUAAUACCUCAAAUUCUAAAAAAUACUUAUAUAUAAAACUCUAUAGGGUCUUCUCGUCUUCUAUAUAAAUUUAAGCUUUUUUACUUAAAAAUAAAUUUCUAUUUAACUUUUUAAGAGACAGAAAUUUUUUCAUCAAACCCUUCAUUCAAGCUUUCAAUUAAAAAACUAAUGAUUAUGCUACCUUUGCACGGUCAAUAUACCGCGGCCAUUUAAUUCAUCAGUGGGCAGGUCAGACCUAUAAUUAUAAUCAACAAGCC
rnacentral:rRNA from 1 species